CAAACCUUGAAAUAAAGCGAUCGGUUCAAAUGCAGAAAUUACACUAUAGACAACUUGGCAAACAGAAAUCAAAAGACCACGAUGAAUAACAAACAUAGCUAAUUUCGAUGUUUGUUUAUAACUAAUUCGACCAUGCCAUAGUAGAAGACGCGAGACAUGACUAAAUUCUUUGACGCUAUAGUCAGCAGCAAGACUAGCUUGCUG